rnacentral:rRNA from 1 species
UACGUAGGGCGCAAGCGUUGUCCGGAAUUAUUGGGCGUAAAGAGCUCGUAGGCGGCCUGUUACGUCUGCUGUGAAAUCCCGGGGCUUAACCCCGGGCGUGCAGUGGAUACGGGCAGGCUGGAGGCAGGCAGGGGAGGAACGGGAAUCCCCGGUGUAGCGGUGAAAUGCGCAGAUAUCAGGAGGAACACCGAUGGCGAAGGCAGGUCUCUGGGCCGAUACUGACGCUGAGGAGCGAAAGCGUGGGGAGCGAACAGG